GGGAGAAGGAGGCCCGUCCUGACAGGGUCAGGGAGGGGGGUGCCAGUGCUGGGGCCGUGCAGCCCAGCAGCUGCAGCAGUGGUGUGGCUGGGGAGGACCUUUCCUUUGGGCCUCGAUGGCAUCCGUGAUGGAGGGCUGGGGCCUCUGGAUUGGGAGGGGGGUGCCGGGUAGUCUGGCGGUGGGCCCUCGCCGGUGCCACGGGGGUCCUCGUCCAGCCCCUGCCCCUCCUGGAGAGGUUCCUGUUUCCCUUUCUCUCGCAGGCAGACCUCUUUCAGGGAAAGGCAGGAGGAGGCACAGCAGUGCCGGAGCUUUUCAAGACGGACCAGUGGUCAGAGCUGACAAAAGCUCUGCAGGAGCAAGUUGAGGUCAAGAAGCUGCUCAGGAACAAGCUCCAGCACCUCCAGGAGAGACAGGAAUGCCUGCGAGAGCCAAGAGCUUUCAGGGGGAAGAAGGUGCAGGCAGAACCACCAGAGGAGUCGCUGCUGCAGGAGAUGGUGGCCGUGCAGCUGGUAGGACAGACAAGCCCGCUGUGGGCCUUGGGGAGGGAAGGGUCUGCUCUGUGCCCGAGGAACAUGAGGGCACUGGUCUCAGCGGGGACGAGGGAGGGGCUCUGAGCCCCCAAACCUCGGCCCCCUCGCACAC